rnacentral:rRNA from 1 species
GACGAACGCUGGCGGCGUGCUUAACACAUGCAAGUCGAACGGAAAGGCCCUGCUUGCAGGGUACUCGAGUGGCGAACGGGUGAGUAACACGUGGGUGAUCUGCCCUGCACUUCGGGAUAAGCCUGGGAAACUGGGUCUAAUACCGGAUAGGAGCCAUUUUUAGUGUGAUGGUUGGAAAGUUUUUUCGGUGUAGGAUGAGCUCGCGGCCUAUCAGCUUGUUGGUGGGGUAAUGGCCUACCAAGGCGGCGACGGGUAGCCGGCCUGAGAGGGUGGACGGCCACAUUGGGACCGAGAUACGGCCCAGACUCCUACGGGAGGCAGCAGUGGGGAAGAUUGAACGAUGGGCGCAAGCCUGAUGCAGCGACGCCGCGUGGGGGAUGACGGCCUUCGGGUUGUAAACUCCAUUCGCUAGGGACGAAGCUUUUUGUGACGGUACCUAGAUAAGAAGCCCCGGCUAACUACGUG